rnacentral:lncRNA from 1 species
GGCUAGAUGGACGUCAUGGCUACAAUAUGUGUCUCACAUUUUAUUGUCUCGAAUAUAUAGUUACACACAAGGUUGUUUUUAUUGAUCUCAGUUUGUCAGAUCAGCCUGCCAUGUUGUGGUAUUAUAAUCAGUGUCUGUAGGUGUCUCUGUGUCUCUGUGUCUCUGUGUCUCUGUGUGCCUCUGUGUCGGUGUCUGUGUGUAUGGCUGUGUGUGUGUGUUGCUGUCUCUGUGUGUCUGUGGGUGUCUCUGUGUGUCUGUGUCUCUGUGUGUGUGUGUCUCUGUGUCUCUGUGUCUCUGUGUCUCUGUAUCUCUGUGUCUCUGUGUCUCUGUGUCUCUGUGUCUCUGUGUGUCUGUGUCUCUGUGUCUCUGUGUCUCUGUGUGUCUGUGUCUCUCUGUGUGUGUGUGAAGGUGUCUCUGUCUCUCUGUGUCUCUGUGUGUCUGUGUCUCUGUGUGUGUGUCUGUAGGUGUGCAUGUGUCUCGGUGUGUCUGUGGGCGUCUCUGCGUCUCUAUGUGUCUGUAGGUGUCUCUGCGUCUCUGUGUGUCUGUAGGUGUCUCUGUGUGUUUGUGUCUCUGCGUCUCUGUGUGUCUGUAGGUGUCUCUGUGUCUCUGUGUGUCUGUGUGUCUCUGUGUGUCUGUGUCUGUAGGUGUCUCUGUGUGUAUGUGUGUCUCUGUGUGUCUGUGUCUCUCUGUGUCUGUAAGUGUCUCUGUGUCUGUGGGUGUCCCUGUGUCUGUGGGUGUCUCUGUGUCUCUGUGUCUAUGUGUGUCUGUAGGUGUCUGUGUGUGUGUCUGUAGGUGUCUGUGUGUGUGUCUGUAGGUGUCUGUGUGUGUGUCUGUAGGUGUCUCUAUGUGUGUCUGUAGGUGUCUCUAUGUGUGUCUGUGGGUGUCUCUGUGUGUCUGUAGGUGUCUGUGUGUGUGUCUGUAGGUGUCUCUCUGUGUGUCUGUAGGUGUCUCUCUGUGUGUCUGUAGGUGUCUGUGUGUGUGUCUGUAGGUGUCUGUGUGUGUGUCUGUAGGUGUCUGUGUGUAUGGCUGUGUGUGUGUCUGUGUGUCUGUGUGUAUGGCUGUGUGUGUGUCUGUGUGUAUGGCUGUGUGUGUGUCUGUGUGUCUGUAGGUGUCUGUGUGUGUGUCUGUGUGUAUGGCUGUGUGUGUGUCUGUGUGUCUGUAGGUGUCUGUGUGUGUCUCUGUGUGUGUCUGUGUGUAUGGCUGUGUGUGUGUCUGUAGGUGUCUGUGUGUGUCUCUGUGUGUGUCUGUGUGUAUGGCUGUGUGUGUGUCUGUGUGUCUGUAGGUGUCUGUGUGUGUCUCUGUGUGUGUCUGUGUGUGUCUGUGUGUCUGUAGGUGUCUCUAUGUGUGUCUGUAGGUGUCUGCGUGUGUGUCUGUAGGUGGCUGUGUGUGUGUGUUGGUGUCUCUGUUAGAGGUCAACCGAUUAAUUAGGGCCGAUUUCAAGUUUUCAUAACAAUCGGUAAAUCUUUUUUUUUUUUUUACACCUCUAUU